rnacentral:lncRNA from 1 species
AAAAACAGGAACUAAAAAGACAGGAUGCAAUUCUAUGGUUUUCCCGAGAACAAAAAGUUGAAAAAAAACAAGUUUACCCCCCAGGUGACCUAACGACUGGAUUCAGAGAAACCAAUAGAAUAACUGUUACCGUGCUAAGCUAAAAACUAACCCCCUGCUCCCUAUAAAAGAUCUGUGCCCUAGAGCCCGGUGUGCCAGUUCGCCACAGCUCUGGCUGAGGUCUCGCUGAGCACCCGCAGGCUCCUGUGUAGCAAUAAAUCGCCUCUUGCUUUUGCAGCCAGUGCCUCGUGCGUCUUUCUUGGACAGGGAAUCCGCGGGUCUUUCAUUUGGCGAGCCAGCCAGGAGUACUCCUGUAACCCCAUCCGGAUCCCUGCCCAAGGAACUCCCGACAUCACUGGGAGGUAAGCUGGCCAGCUCAAACUUUCUGUCUUGUUGUCCUGUUGGCUAUCUGUUCUCUGUUCCGCGCAGCGUCUGUAAGACUAUAUGAUCCUAGGCAUAGUCAUUUAGUAUUCUGAGGCAGUUCUGUAGUCAUCUAGUAUUCUGAGGCAGUUUGAGAAGGAGUUGACGAACUCGGACUUCUCCCCUGCCACCCUGGGAGACGUCCCAGGGAUCAGAGGGGUCCAUUUCUUUGGGGCCCCCCGGUGUUUCCGAAGAUUACACCAUCUUUGUAGGCGACGGAGAAGUACAAACUUCUCCCAGGCCAUCUGAUUUUUUCGGUUUCCACCGAAGCCACGCAGCGAUCUCACUGUUUGGUUUCGUUUUUGUGUCGUUGUGUCUGUCUCUCUAUUUCCUCUCUGAGAGUAACAUGGGACAAUCACUAACAACUCCCUUGAGUCUCACCCUUGACCAUUGGCAGGACGUCCAAAAUCGGGCAGAGAACCAGUCAAUAAAAAUUAAAAAGAAAAAAUGGGUAACACUCUGUACCACGGAGUGGCCAAUAUUGGCCCACCCUCAGAGUUGAAUGGCCCCCAGGAGAGUCCCUCCAUCUCUCUCUCUAAUCUGCAAAGUCAGAGAUUGUCUUUCAGCCGGGGCCACAUGGCCAUCCAGAUCAUGGCUUUUAACCUUUCAGGACCUCUGCGAAUCUCCUUCUGCAUGGGUGGGAUCCGCGCAGUCCGCCAGGAGGAUUCCACCCGGUGGUAUGGCGGAUCUGUCCCGUCCCUGUUCCUCCCGGCCCCUCCACCCCAGGAAGUGAACGGGUCUUCCUGGAGUCGGGCUACUUGGAAAUGCAGCCCAAGGCGGAUGAUAAAUUCCAUCUAAGGCUGAAUACUGAGACUAGGGAAGCAAUGUUUUCUUUCCCCCCCCCAUAACCGGCUUGAGUGCAAAUAGAGAUGCCUGCUGGGGAUUUAACAACUUUGACAUCUCGCUUUGACUUUUCUCAAAGCCCUGUCCUCAUUAUUAAAUUAGUGUUAAUUGGCUUUAGAGAUGGGAACCAAAUUUUCAGUCACAAAUUUUGACACUCUCAAGGGGACUUUUAAGGAGUCCCCACUCUGCUUUCUUGGGGAAGCCUAGCACUCGAAACAACUGCAAGCAGAGGAUGAACUUUUUGGGAGCUGGCUACUAAAUAGUUAGGAAAAAAAAAAUGCCUAAUGCCUAAGGUCAAAUCAAACUGGAGGAACUGAUCCUAUGGGUGAAAGAUGGGAUUAAGGGACUCCCAGCAGCUGCCAGAGCCAUUUAGCUCUGGGGAGUUCCCUGGGUCCUUAUCUACAUCUUAAGGAUUAAGCCACCUCUGUUUACUUAAAAAGAAGGGACACUGAAUGCAGUAAAGCCAGUCACACUGAGACCCUUGAUUUUACACCUAUAGUUGCCCCUACGUGAAAACAUCUGGUCCACUCAUGGGAAAGUCUAUGGUGCCACUGAUAGGAGUCAUAAUUAAAUGAAAGUUCAAAACCUGGAGAGAUAUUUUCUUAUCUGGUUGUCUGAUUGUUUCUUAAAGAUAAUCUAGGUUAGAUGUGUGUCUAAAAAAAAAUAAUAAUAAUUUUUAUUGUAACAAUCUGGUAUCUGAAUGGGUUUCUAAAGCAUUGCACUAUCUUGCAGUUAAAAGUUGGGUUUAAGCAAUUGUUUAGUUUGAUUUCAGAUAGUUCAUGCUAGAAAACUUAAAUACUUGGGAUAAAAAAAAAUUAAAAAAUUUUCAAUUUUGAACUGGGUAGCCUGAAGAGCAAUUAAAACGUUGGUCUGGCUCAUAAAAAUGACAUUAGAUAAUUAAAUAGCAAUAGUCUUAGAAAUUUUCAAAGCUUAAUUUCAGAUAUAUAUGGUAGUGUGUGGGCAAAUUUAAUGUAACUCAAUGCUACUUUAGAAACUUCAGAACAAGCAAAGUGGCUUAGAGGUAUCAAAGAAAUUUCUUCUGAUGGUAGAGAUCCUAUUUCCAGUUUUAUGUGAACAAGUUUUUCUAAUGUAAAAAAAUAUAAAAUUUUAAAUUUCAAAAAUUGCUUCUUAAAUUUGUAUCAUAAUUUUCAACAUCUAAACCUAAAAAUAUAACUUAAGGUUAAAAUGCCUUAGGCCUAAAGUGUCUGCUCAAAAUAGCAGUUCCUGUCCUCAAAAUUAAGCUUAUAAGUUUCUCUAGGUGUUCAAAAAGGCCCUAAUAAAAUGUUAACUCUGCUUAAAUUUAAAAGUUUACAAGUAUUGUUUCAAAAUGUAAACAAAAAAAGUUUAUAUAAUUAUGGUGUUAUUAAUGUGUUCAUAUCUUCCAGGUAUACAAGUCUGUAAGGUAAAAGCUUCAAAAGAACAUUAUAUCAAGCUGGUGUUCUAAAGUUAUAUGGUAAUUUUAAAUUAAAAAAAAAACAUAUUAGAAAUUCAAUUAUAUCAUUUGUGUUCUAUAACUGAACUUAUUAUCAAUAAGAUAUGUACAGUUCCAUAUUACUUUCUACUCUGAGAUACAAUUUAUGUAUUUUUAAGUUAAUGAGAGCCUAAUCUGUGUAAAGGUUUCAUUGCAAAACACAAAAGUACAUUACUACUUUUCUAUAAAAGGUUAAAAGCUUUCAGCCUUUAAUUCAUGUUUUAGAUAUGAUAUUAUGUUGUGUUAGCUAAUCUUCAUGUAAACUUGAACAACAAUUUAUGUAAACUUUGUAAAAUGAUCAGCUUCAGAACUAUAGUACUUGAGAUUUAUAAAGAGCCCUGCCUUACUUGAGAUAAGGCUCUGUCCCAUCUCACUACAUGUGAAAGUGGCUAUAAAAAAAGUAAGCCAGAUUUCAGUACAGUUAAAGUUGUGUCCAAAAAUAGGUUUGUGCCAAGAUUACUAGGAUCUCAAACAGAAAAUUAUGAUGUAUAACCCUGCUAGAAUUCAAGGUAGCUAUUAUAUAAGCUAAAUAUGUUUUUACCCUAGUUAGUUUUGUUUUGUAGUUUACUUAUAGAUGGUUUAAGGAUUGCCUGUUAAUGUUUUAAAGAGGUAUUACUUUAAGAACACAACCUGGGUCAACAUAAGAUAAAGAGUUAUCACCUACAGGAUAGAGAGAUAGACAUUAAAGCCCAGUGCUCUUAAUAUAAGGCUGUUAACUUAUUUGCUGGAUGUUUAAGAUCAAGUUUUUAAAAUUAGUUAAAUUAAAAGGGCCAAGAAAACCAAUAUUUGGCUCUUGCCCUCUGAGUCAGUCUGAAUCAGGGAAUAGGGGACUUCUCCAAAGGGCUCAGCAACUCUAGGCCACAUAACCUCCUGAGCAGGGAGAUUAAUGAGACCAGUGGAGGACAGAAAGCCAAAUGGUGCAUUUGCUGUAAAGAGGAGGGUCAUUAAAAAAGGGAGACAUCCCUGAUGCUUCUGAGGGAAGCCAUAUGGUCAAGCAAGGCCUGGACCCAUCCUAGCGCAAAUGGCACUAGCAGAACUGAAAAACUGCUAUGAAGUUCCCGAGGACUCCCAGGAUAACUCAGCUGACUGUAAACAAUAGGUAGAAACAAAAGUCAGUUUGACUUGCUUCAUCUUAAACACUUAGCAAAGACAGUCAAAGCCAAAGCACAGCUGUUCCUGGACAUCUUAAAUGAUAAUAAUAACUAAAAGUAACUUCCAUAAAUAAAUAGACUGGAGGCUACAAGAGAGAUUCUUAGACAGAAAUGCCUGAUAACUGCCAAAGGGACUACUAGAAUAGUUUUAGUCUAAGGCUUUUAUUUCUAGCCAACGCAGGUAGACUUGAUGUUUGCUAAUAUGGUUAUCCAGCCCUAAGUAGCAGAAUUAAAGAUUUCUCUAUUAGACACAGAGGAGAAACAAAAGGUUCUCUUGGAAGCUCGCAAAAAUGUGCCAGGGGACGACGGGCGCCCCACCCAACUCACAAAUUUGAUUAACGAAGCUUUUCCUUUAACCCGGCCAAACUGGGACUAUGCGACUGAAGCAGGUGAGAACCACCUAUGUCUCUAUCGCCAGUUACUCAUAGCGGGUCUCCAUGGAGCAGGGGGGUCUCCAUGGAGCAGGGCGACGGCCCACCAAUUUGGCUCAGGUAAGACAGACUAUCCAGGGGUCAGAGGAAACAGCCUUCUUAGAGAAAUUAAAAGAGGCUUAUCAGAGGUUUACUCCCUUUGAUCCUGAUAGUGAGGACCAAAAAGGAAACAUUUAAUGGGCCUGCCUUCGUCUCCCAGGUAAGUCAGGCGGUAGCCAAUACAUUGGAGAUUAAUUAAAAAUUACAUUGUGGUUAUAGACCCCAAAGUUCAGGACAGGUAAAAAAGAUAAAUAGAACCAUUAAGGAGACUUUAACUAAAUUGACACUUGAAACUGGCACUAGAGACUGGGUACAACUCCUACCUUUAGCCUUGUAUGGGGCCCGAAACACCCCAGGCCCACAUGGACUAACCCCAUUUAAAAUCCUGUACGGUGCCCCACCUCCCGCUAUUAACUUUUAUGAAACUAAAACCUAUGCCUCCCUCACCCCAUCUAUGCAGACUCAUUUGCAUGCUUUGCAAUUGGUCCAGAACGAGGUCUGGAAGCCUCUAGCCGCAGCAUACAAAGAGGAACUUAAAACCCCCUUGCUGCCACAUCCCUUCAAGGUCGGAGAUACCGUCUGGGUACGCAGGCACCAGAGCAGGAACCUGGAACCGCGAUGGAAAGGACCCUACACUAUCCUGCUGACCACUCCUACUGCACUCAAAGUGGACAGCAUCGCUGCUUAGAUCCACGCUUCCCACGUGAAGACUGCACAUCCACAGGAGUCCGCAGACACCUCUCCGGAUCCAGAAUGGAAGUUGCAACGUACCCAAAAUCCGCUAAAGAUAAGACUCACUCGCUGUUGAUUUUUCUUGCUUUGUGCUGUGUCUUCCCCAUAUCAGUUAACCCCAACCAAUCUGUGAGCCAGACAUGACAAGUAUUAUCGGGGGAUGCAUAGUAGAAGCCAAGCUCAUUUUAGGAUUUAAUUCAAAUAAAAAAAAAAAAAAAAAACAGGAUCCCCCACUUUCUGCCGACUCUUGCAGGAGCCUGAAAUGGUACGGGGCAGGGCCAUGUACCACAUUUGCCUGCAAUCCCUUAAAUAUUACCUUUACUCAGGCAGGCAAAGCAUCAAAAGAUUGGAUAAAAGGAAAACAAUGGGGCCUGAAAGUAUAUCAUAAAACUGCCUAUGACCCUGGGGUCCUAUUCAAAAUUAGAUUAAUAGUAAAUACCAACCCCCAACCAGUAUGCUGAGCCGUCAGCUGAAAUAAUGCUGGAAUCCGAGCAGAUGGGUCAAUGGAUAUAAGAUUAUAUCCAUGAUAUAAAAAAAGGGGGGAAAUGAAGGACCUCAAGGCCCCAGGCCCAACAUUAGGAAAACUAACCCCUGUGCCCUGAAGCUGCAAGAUGUUCUCUUACACAACCCCCAUGUCAAAACCCCACCAGCUGCACGUAGCACUUCAAGUCUCGCACAAUGUUACCACAAGAUGUUCCAUAUAGAUAACCCCGGAAGGGCCAAACUUGAGCAAACAGGGNAGCACCCGCAGGCGCCUGUGUAGUAAUAAAUCGCCUCUUGCUUUUGCAGCCAGUGCCUCGUGCGUCUUUCUUGGACAGGGAAUCGGCGGGUCUUUCAGUCUCACACCAGUGCUUUUUUCCAUAUUUACCUGCACUACAUAGAGAUACUAAUUUUAUAAAAUAGAGGUUUUCCAAAGAAGUUCACAUCUCUCAGCAAACCAAAUUCAAUUAAAGUGAUGAUUGUCACAGACCAUAAGCUCAAUUAUUAUCCAGGUAAAGGGCAAGAAUUCAAACACAUGCCUCUCUCACAUCUUCCUUUGAUAACAACACGGUACUUGUCAUCAAGUUAAUAUGUAAUUAAAAAGAAAAAUCACAAAUGUUUAACCUGAGAAUAAUUGAUUCUUUCUUUUAAGAAAAAUCUGGUUAAUCAAAUCAGUGAAGGCAAUCAUCUGUUGGGUUCAAAGUCUACUCUUUGAACUUAAAAUAAAAUCGAAAUUCCUUUGUGUCCACCAAGGUCUGACAUAAUUUAGCUACUGUCUACCUCUCUAAUCUCACUGCUGCAGCUCCAAGAACACUGGCCCUUUUGUCCAUCCACAAAUAUGUCAAAACCUACUCCAGCCUUGGGAGGUAUUCUUUUUGCCUAGAAUGCUGUUGCUAUAAAUGUUCACAAAAACAAUUCCUUCUCUUCAUUUAUAUCUCAUAUCACAUGCCACCUCUGCAGAGUGGUUUUAUUCAUUUUUCCAUGUUUUUACUGAUGCACUAUAGUUGUACAUAAUGAUGGGAUUUAUUGUUACAUAUUUGUACAUGUACACAAUAUAACAAUAUAAUUUGGCCAAUAUCAUUCCCUAGUAUUUUUUGUUUCUCUCUCCUCCUCUCCCACUGAUGGCUUUCUUCUACUCUAUUGAUUUCCCUUUGAUUUUCAUCAGACUCCCUCACAGACAUUUCUUUUCCUUUUUUCUCUCUAGCUUCCACAUAUAAAACACAUGACUUUUGACUGAGUUUGUCUUAUUUCACUUAACAUUAAUAUUCUCAAAUUCCAUCCAUUUUCCUGCAAAUGACAUAAUUUUAUUUUUCUUAAUGACUGAAUAAAACUCAAUUUUGUGUGUAUACCACAUGUUCUUUAUCCUUUCAUCCAUGGAUGGACAUCUAGGCUAGUUCCAUAGUUUGUCUUUUACGGUUGCAUCAAUACACUGCCCCCCUCCUCCUCCAUAUGAAAUAUUCAUUUGUUACUUAAUUUUGUUUCCUCUAAUAUAAGUUCCGUGAAAGCAGGAAUCUCUAUCUAAAUCUUCAAAAAGCAAAUGGGUAAUUAGUUUAGACUAUAGGAAAUACACAAAGGCAAGGAAUAAAUAACACAUGAUCUUCAAAGAACAAGAAGGAAUACCCUGGGCUCUUGGAUAACUGAGAUCAACAUAUCAUUUUUCAUAGACAGAUAUCCCAGGGUGGAUGGAUAUCAGUUGCUCUUCUGAAAGGUGGGCUGAGCAUUCAUUGGGUCACAUUACAAAGUGAAUUGUAAGUCUUGGGUAUUGAAUAUCUUAGCCUAUCAUACUAGCCUAUCAUACUUCAGUGAAACCCUCUUUUCACUGAAUCAUAAUGAAUUUCUUCCUACACCCUGAAAUUGAAUCUAUCAUUAGUUAAACAGAACUUUUCCAAAAUUUUACUAAAAUCAGAAAACCUUGAGAAAAAGAUAAAUGAAAUGCAUAACUUUUGUCAGAUUGCUGCUAAAUCAACAUUCAGAUUAGAAUGAAAGUAAUUUCAUGUUUCUGCUCUCCACACUUAACCAGAUUCCUCAAAAUUCAACUAUAUUCUUUCAAGUACAAAAAAAAUCUUAGUCAUCCUUGAAGGUCUUUUUAGACCAUGAGAAGAAAAUCAUUCUCAGAUUCUAGGGCCAUUCUCAGGCCCUGCAGGUUUCCAGAGUUUCUAAAACCCUCAAACAAAUGAAUCAUUGCUCUCCAUCAGGAUGUGAUGCAUUUUGACAUGAAUUUGACAAUUUGCCCGCCAAUACCUACCUGAUAACAUUUCUACCUUUACCAAACAGUAUCAGUUCUAAAGCAAGGGAACCCUAUUUACUUCCCACAUAGUCCCGAGUUCAAAAUGGUUUGCUUUCCAGAUGAAAGAUUGUGAGAGGGUUAUUAGUCAUAUAUAAAACUUACUUUUUGUCAAACUGUAACCUAAAAUCUAGGCACAGAAAGCCCAGGUUUACUAAUAUUAGAAUAUUAGAAGCUGGACAUUGAGCUAGCCCCACUAUUAUGUAAAUGCCUAUGGCUUUACCUUCAACAUAUUACAGAAGUAGUUCUCAACUUUGGGUGCAUGUUAGAAUCAUCUGGAGACAUUUGUAAAUGUGCAUUCCCUGGUGAAAUGUCUGACCAAGUUUGAGAAUCACCACUAUACAGAAAUAUCUGUAUUUAGAAUGAAACUUGUCUUAUAGGCUUCCUUUGAAACUCUGUAUAUAAUGAAUGAGUACAUUUAUAUACAACACACACACACACACACACACACACACACACAAGUACAUACAUACACAGAGGAGAAUCUAUGCUGAAAGAAACCUGGGACAGUGGUUACUCUGGCUUGUUGCAACUGGAAGGGAAUUGGGGGGAUUUAAGGAAGUUGGUAGCAUUCUAAUUUGGUUACACAGGUAUGUUGUUUACAUAAAAAUUAAUCAAGCUACACAUUAUAGUAUGUGUACUUUCAACAAAAUUAAUUUUUUUCAAGGGAAGAGUAAAUGAAGUAGGAUUUAUUUAAGUGAGAAGAGAGAACUCUCACAAUGUGGGAGGGGAUCUGAUAAGAGGAAUCCCCAAAAUAAAUUUUUAAAGCAAAAAUAGACUUCCUUUUUCUUUUUAAAACUUACUUCCUUUUCAUUGUCCAAAUCAAUGUUUUAAAAUAUUGAUUUUCAAAAUGCUAAAAUGGCUCAAGAUUAAAUAAAGUCACAUUUAAACAUUAAAAACCAGCAAUGUUAAAUUAAUUGGACAAGGUUUAGUGAUAUUGCUAAUAUUAAAAUGGUAAUUUCUUGAUGACAUAUUUAAGAGACAUUAAAAAACUAUCUUUUGGCAUAAUUGUUCAUCAAAAAAUAGUAGUUAAUGUUUUUUCCUUCCUUUUUUUAUUUUCAUAGUACUCAUAAAAAUACAAUUUUACAUGUUUAUAGCCCCUCCCCAUUUGGAUCAAAACUCCAUGAGGGCAGGAAUAUUUACCUAUAUAGCAUAUAAUAUUUGUUCAGUAAGUAUUUGGUGGAUGAAUAAAGGAAUGAAAAAAAUGACUGAAUAACUAGCACAAAAGCUCUCUUCUUAAGGCUCUUGUUAUGGCUUGGAUUUAAGGUAUCCCCCAAAAGCUAUGUGUUGAUGAAAAAGGUAAAACAAUUAUGAGAGCUAUAACCUAAUUUAUAAAUUAAUCCAUUUGAUUGAUUAGUGACUUGAAAUGACUACUUAGAAAGUGGUAACUGUAGGCAAAUAGGGUGUGGCUGGAGGAGGUAGGUCAAUGGGAUUAUAUCCUUGUGGAUUGUAUGUUGUCCCUGGCUCCUCAAGUGAUUGAGAAAGUUCAUUCCCCUCCCACCAACUACAUGAGUUGAGCAUAUUUUUCUACCAAACCAUUCCACCAUGAUGUUCUGCCUCACCUUGAGUCUCAAUGGAGUGAGACUUCUGAGAUCAUCAGCCCAAAUACAACUUUUAUGCCUAUAAAUUCUUCUUGUCAGGUAUUUUGGUUACAGCAAUAAAAAAUUGACUAUCAGAAAUUGGUACCAAGAAGUGGGGUCUUCAUUGAGACUAUGCUGAUUGUGUGGUUUAGAAGCCUUUGGAACUGGUUUGCAUGAGGAAUUUGGAAAAGUUUUGAGAUGUAGGCUGGAGAACUUUAUGGGAAAUUUUGGUGGGAGGUCAGAAGAGCAGAAUGCCAAAAGAAAGGCAGACAGUAAAGAUUGAGCUUCUGAGGUUUUAUAGUGUAAUGAGGUCUUUAUUGGAAAUUAGACUAAAGGACAUUUACAUUAUACUCUGACAAAGAAGUUGUAUAUAUUUUUAUCAUAUCUCAAGACUUUCUUUUAAUUUGAAGAAAUUAAUUUAAAGGGCUUAGUUUAAAGAUGAUGGACUAAUUUAUCUGACAGGAAAUUUCAAGGCAGUGCAGAAUUGAGGUGAUAGCAUGGGUGUUGGGGGCAGGUUUUAGCCAGGUUUACUGUGAGAACCAAGGACAAAAAGUAGAGAAAAAGAAGUGAAAAACUUGCUAUUUGGCCAGAGAAGAAGUACACCUAAAUUUGGGGCCAAAAAUUGUGGUUGUUGAAGAGAUUAUAACCACUAAGGAGAUACACAGAUACCAUAGGAAAGUUUCCUGAAGGGUAUUUUAGGAAUCAGUAAGAACACACCCAUGAUAGACUCAGGGCUGUAACAACAAAACUCCUUUUGAGAAGAGACCUUGGUAGCACUCUGCUCUCACAGGAGAACUUAGAAAGUUGCUUCCCUGGACUUUGAUUCACCAUACUCAGUUACUAAGGCACUCAGAGGUAGCUGCAGCUAUAGCCAUGUACUGAGGGUGCCCAGCUACUCUUUGAGGUGGUAGUCGACCCUGGUGUUAUCUACAUGGUGCUGGUUCUAUAGGAAUACAGGAUGUUAGAGUUAAGAAGUCACAGAAGCUUCCACUGAGAUUUCAAAGGAAGGCAUGAGAAGCCAAGCAGAGUGUAGCAGUGUCAGAAUCCUUGCAGGUAGACCCUGAGAGAGUGAUGAAUGAAGCUAUGAAAAUGAAGCCAAAGCUGAAAUGGAGACUCCCAAGUUUAAGAGAUGCUAGUAAUAUGAGAUAUCUGCCAAGAAAAGCUGUUUGAGAGGUAGUUUGGGCUGCGACCAGAGAAGCUGAAGGGACAGGGCUGCCCAAAUCCUUUGGAGAAUACAUCUUGCUGCUAUGUGCUCUAGAUGCUGAAUGUAAAGCUAUAGGACCUAAUGUUUGCCCAACUGGGCUUUGGUCUUGCUUUAAUCUCAUCCUUUUUUUUUCUAUGCCUCCUUUUAUCCCUGUUAGAAUGCAAGUUUUUACUCCGUACCAUAAUGUAUUGUAUCAUUACAGGGGUUCACAGCCAAGAAUUUGCCCUGAAUCUCAGAGGAGAUCUGGACUUGGACUUCCGACAAUGCUGUAAUUGUUAAGACUGGGGAUUCCCAGAGAUGGAUGAAAUGCAUUUCGUACUGUGAGAUGGACAUGAGUUCUUGGGGGCCAGAAGUAGAAUGUUAUGGUUUGAAUAUGAAGUGUCCCCAAAGGCUCCUAUGUUAAUGAGGAAGAUGAAAUGAUCAGAUUAUAAGAAUUCUAACCUAAUCAGUGGACUGAUUCAUUUUACUAAUGAUUUGAAAGAACUACUGUACUGGGUGGUAACUGUAGACAUGUGGGGUAUGGCUGGAGGAGGUGGGUUAUAGGAGGCACGCCCUUGGGGAUUAUAUCUUGUCCCCAGCUCCUCAUGUGCUCCCCCCUCAGUGCUUCUGGUUUUUGAUUUGUCUUAUUUUUUCAUUUGGUUGAAUGUCCCCUUUAGUAUAGAUUCUCCCUUUGUUGGUUUUCACUUUUUUUUCAUUUCAUCCUCAUGGAAUAUUUUGUUGAGAAUGCUCUGUAAUGUAGGCUUUCUAGUUGUGAAUCUUUUAAUUUUUGUUUAUCAUGGAAUGUUUUAAUUUCAUCUUCAAAUCUGAAACUUAAUUUUGCUGGAUAUAAAAUUCUUGGUUGGCAUCUGCUUUCUUUCAGAGCUUGAAAUACAUUAUUCUAGGACCUCCUAGUUUUGAGGGUCUGGGUUGAGAAAUCAGUUGAGACCCAAAUUGAUUUCCUCUAUGAGUAAUUUGAAUUUUUUCUCUCAGAGCCUUUAAGAUUUUAUCUUUAUUCUUUGUGUUAGUCAUUCUUAUUAUAAUGUGUCUUGGUAUGGGUCUGCUGUAAUUUUGUACAUUUGGGGUCCUGUAAGCCUCUUGUAUUUGAUUUUCCAUUCCAUUCUUUGGGUUUGGGAAUUUUUCUGCUAUUAUAUCAUGGAAAAAAAUGUGCAUUCCUUUGGCUUGUAUCUCUGCUCCUUCCUCUAUUACAAUAACUCUUAAAUUUGGUCUUUUAAUGUUAUCUGCUAAUUCUUGGCUGUUCUGUUCAUGGUUUCUUACCAUCUUCUCUGCAUGUUCAACUCUACUUUCAAGAUUAUGUAUUUUGUCUUCAUUGUCUGAGGUUCUAUCUUCCAAGUUGUCUAGUCUAUUGGUGGUACUUUCUAUUGAAUUUAUAAUUUGGCUUACUAAUCCCUUCAUUUCAAGGAUUUUUGCUUUUUUUCUCAUGAUCUCUCUUUAUUGAAGUAGUCUUUCACUUCCUGUAUCUUUUCUUUGAUUUCACUCCUUAUACUAUUCUUUACUUCACAUAUCAGUUUAACUACAUACAAUAUUAGCUCCUUCUUGGACAUUUCUUCUACUGUGUUAUCAGUGCCUUCUGUUGUUGAAGCAUCUUGGUUUGUUUGGGGUAUUUUAUUCCCUUGCUUUUUCAUGUUGUUAGUGUGUUUUCCUGUUUAAAAGUAUGGCUCUAAGGCAGUAUAAAUUCUACCCUACACACCUACAGCAUCCCUGAACGUUUCCAGCACUUCACCUUUACUUGUGAGAACAAUACCAACAGCAACCAGUGUACACAAUAUAAAGCCUUAAACCUAAUAGCUCCCACUAAGGCAUCUACUGCUUUCUUGCAUUAAACCAAAAUGAUGAAUUCAAUAACUGUCUAUAGUACAAACAGAAUAUUUGUUAAAACUGUUUACAAUUUCAAAUGGUGGAUGAGAGAACAGAGGUAGUAUAGUAUGCAAUAUUUGCAAGGGAGGAAGAGAGAAGCUAUAAGUAAAAAUUCACAGGAAGAGUGGAAGAGAAGCUGACAGAAAUUGGCUGUUGAUUGGAGAAAAGUUGGAAAGAAAAUCCAAGAAAAUAGUCAAGAGAGAGGAAGAAUAUGAACAAAGAGAAAAAAUUAAAGACAUAAGAAUACAACAAAAAUGCAAAACACCAUUCAUAUAUCAUUGUCCUCUACACACUGAUACAUAAAAAACAUCCUGUUCCAAAUAUGAUAGAGAGAUUAGUAAAUAAAAAAAUAAAAUAAAAUAAAUCUUGUUGGAAAGUUGAACUGUCUCUGUCUGUGUUCAACAGUUUCUCAGCCCUCUCUCUGACAUCUCUAAGGCUCACCAAAACCAGAUCAGUCCUCGAAAACCCAGUCUCUAUCCCACUGAUUUGGGCUUCAGAUACCUCAGGCUCAGCCAUUUUGCAGUCCCAAGAUCCAAUGAUGCUCCUACUUGCAGAGAGAACACCAGGGAUACACUCAUGCAAAGGAGCAACCCUGAUGCAGCAAGACAAGGACCACCAGCACUCUCAGCAGGAAGACCCCAGGCUCCUCCAAACCUUCAGGCACCCUCCACUGGACCUGCAUGUCCCAGCUGGAGUCCACAGACAGAGGUGUUUGUGGUGGUAAACCUGCUGGCAUCCAGGCCCUGGCUGGUGUCCCAAAAUGGGUGCAGCCACAUGCAACCAAACCUGGAGUCUCCCCUGAAGCAGUCCUCUAGGCUGUGGUAGCAGCAGUAGUGGCAGUGGUUGUGGCAGCAGGCAACAGGUCAGUAGUAGCAAUGGCUGCAGCGGCAGCUGCACCUGCAGCUGUGGGGACAGUGUUACCAGGAGAUCUCCAGGGAUAAGCAGUAGUAUAGGCUUCAGUUCAUCCAGGGCAGGAGUUUCUUCUGUGGCAGCAGAACCCAGAAAAUAGACCUCCAGGCAAUCUCAGGCUGGCAGCAGCAGAAUCAGAGGAGCAGCAAUGGCGGUAGCAGUGCAGCUAUAUCUGCUUUUGUGUGUGUGUGUGUGUGUGUGUGU